rnacentral:lncRNA from 1 species
UUAAAGUCUUUGUAAUUAUAAAUAUUGUUUCCAAAAUAAAAUAAACAUAAUCCAAAACAUAAUUAACAAUAUUGUCUCUAAAACAAAACAAACAUAAUCUAAAACACCCAAUUUUCAUCUUCAUUCUCUUGUAAGUUGGGUUGGGGAUGUUGGGUUUUGGUAAAAAAAAUUAUAAAAAUACCCCUUGCUAAAAAAAGACUAAGCCCGGCGGGGAAGCCCGCCCCGCCCCGCCAAAGCCCGCCAAAACCAGCGGUUUAAGCGGUGCGGGUUAAGCGGGCUUUUGCUAUUUGGCGGUCCCAAUUUUCCAGCCCGGCCCGCCUUUUUUGGCGGGUUACACGGGCCGGCCCGGCGGGUUUAGGCCCGUUUGCCACCCCUAG